rnacentral:rRNA from 1 species
CACGCCAUAAACGAUGAAUACUAGGUGUAGGGGGUAUAGACUCCCUCUGUGCCGCAGUUAACGCAUUAAGUAAUCCACCUGGGGAGUACGGCCGCAAGGUUAAAACUCAAAGGAAUUGACGGGGGCCCGCACAAGCAGUGGAGUAUGUGGUUUAAUUCGAAGCAACGCGAAGAACCUUACCAGGGCUUGACAUCCUCGGACGACACUAGAGAUAGUGUUUUCUCUUCGGAGACUGAGAGACAGGUGG